AUACGUAGGGGGCAAGCGUUAUCCGGAGUUCAUUGGGCGUAAAGAGCGCGUAGGCGGCUUGUUAAGUCAGAUGUGAAAACCGGGGGCUCAACCCGCGGCCUGCAUCUGAAACUGACAGGCUUGAGUCUGGUAGAGGAAAGUGGAAUUCCUGGUGUAGCGGUGAAAUGCGCAGAUAUCAGGAGGAACACCAGUGGCGAAGGCGGCUUUCUGGGCCACGACUGACGCUGAGGCGCGAAAGCUAGGGGAGC
rnacentral:rRNA from 1 species